rnacentral:lncRNA from 1 species
CCGCCCCACAGUUACCUGGCAACAUCCAGGUGCCGGACUCUCGGUAAAAGGGGCUGCUUAUCUGUUCUUCACUCUUAGUCUCUUGUCUUCUUACCGUCUUCCCUCUCUGUCCCUUCUCUCCCCUCCCCCUCUCCACUCUCCAGAUAUUCAUGGACGGCCUCUACUACUCUCUUUUCUUUCUCCUCUCUCCCCUCCCCCUCUCUGUGUUGUUCUCUACCUCUACUCUCUCAACUCCCCUCCCCAUGCCCUAAGUAAACUCUGUUUCAUCCUGUACCCAUCCUAUGGUCGGUACCUCAGGGGGAAAGGACGCCUCAGCAUGGGCCCUUCAUCAUACAUGCCUCUACCAAACAGAUCCCUGGCUUCCUUUUCUUUUUCAUAAAACACAACAGUGUCCACUUUAUCUCUACCCCCACCUCUAGAGUUUACAACCCUGUUGUUCUUAUCUAGACUACAACAAUUCCCCCUGUGUACUCUUUUUUUUAAAAAAUAACCAAACAUACAUUUAUUCAAGUGUUGUCAUCUUGUGAAGAUGUAUUCUGAUGCCUAUGUUGCUUCCAUUAUCAAAGUGCACUUGUUCUGAACCUGUCUGGGCGUGGCCUUGGAAGUAGUCUGUGAGCUGUAUCAUGAGACCAUCACCUCAUGUUUGAAAUCAGGGUCACCUCUGUCCUGAUUACAGGGCCACCGCAGUGCACUGGGUCAUCAAACCUCUUGCUUAUUGUAUUGUUAUCCAUCUCCAUGUUUUCAUGAGUGGGACCUCCUGGACGUAGGGCUGAUUGGGUCCUACAGUCACUCAAGUUUGAGUUCUAAGACACUUUAUUGUUUGGAUGCUGGGGACAUUGAAGGCACCAAGGAGAUGGAAGUCAUCAACUGGGCAAAUGCUGAAGACACACGUGGAGGAGCAUGCACCCCUGAAGGUUACAGAGAACUUCAACAAGAGCCAUUUUGAUGCAUCAAUGUGGGCAAAGGCAAAAGGUUCAAGAGAGAACAAGAGAAAACUAGAGACCACAAGUGGAUAUAUGUGGAUCCUCCCAGGAGACCUACUAGGGAAAUGUGUUCCUCACAGAAGGUAUGAAUCACCCCUUAGUCCAGUGCAUCCACUGGAGCAAGGCUAUGGGCAGAAUGGGAAUUUGACCUGGGAAGGAUGUCUUUGCACUGGGAGAGGAGAGAAAGACUGAUUAAGUGGAUGGACUAAUGGAACAGCUGAAUGCUCAGCUGAAUUCUGUGGCUCUGAACAGGGAGAGGAACUGUGGCUUCACCAUUUUCUCCUGUAAGACUGGUUAGGUGUACAUCUGUGGCAUUGGGUUUCAUCAGGGUUGGAGUUUCUCAUAUGAGUAACAGACAGAGAGCAAAGGGUGUGUGUAGGUUGAUGUCUAUACGCGGGUAAGGGCUGGCACAAGUAAGGUCAAGGCCAUGAUUGGACAGUAAAAAAUAAGGCGGGGACAAAGCUUUUGUUAGGUGGGAGAGAAGGGGAAGGAGAAAG